AAUGGAUUUGUCAUGUAUAACCUGUUCUCCAUUCUCAUAACUGUUUUCCUCUGUGAAGGACAGGAGGAGGAUACUCCUUUUGCCAUAGCACUGAGAAAUACAAUGGGAACACAGUGUCAGAAUUUUUGGAAAGUGUUCCAGCAACUAUGGGAGAAGUUACUACGAUGAGAUUAACAACAUUUUAUAAGGACCAAAUGAUACUCGAGUAAAACUUCAAGUUCCAAAUAAGCAGAACUUAAAAUGUGGUUUGGACAUUCUGAUAUUUUAUGAGGGGAAAAUAGGACACAUGUUGCUAGACAAAUGUCCCAGGAAGGUGUGGAAGGAAGAUCCCAGGAAAAGGUGGAGCAGCUGCAGGCCUGGG
ensembl:lncRNA